UCGUACCUGUCCUGAGGCUGGGGCAGGGAGACAUGAAGACUUCAGUAAAGGUGACCCCACCAACAUGGUGGGGAGUCUUCUGGAGCUCAGUCUUUAAGGCAUGCAUUCUCUUAUGACUAAAACUCCCCAGAAAGUCCCCUGGAUUCUGCUCAGACCAGCAAUUAAUUGAUUGAUUGAUUCUGUACCAGCUGUGUAUUAGGGCCUGUAUAAGACUCCAGGGAUGUAGAAAUCAAUAAAAGUGAUUCCUGCCCUCAAGGAACUUGCUGGCUCAUGGCAUAUAACAGACAUCACGGUCACAAGGCAUGAGUAUUGGCUGUCCCCAGACAUCUGAGAAGGACUGUCGGCUGUGCCUGGCUGGGCAGGUGCCAAGGGAUCCCGGAGGAGGGGCGCACACAGGAUCUCGAAGGAGAAGGAGGACAAGAUGGGGAAGAGCAGCUGAGGCAGCAGGAAUAAAAAUGCCAAGUCAUAGAGGAAGGGGAGGGGAUGGAGAAGGGAGAUACAAAGAGGUUUGACUUCCUUGAGUACCUACUAUGUGUCAGGCUCUGUACCACUUGUUCCCAUCUCAUUAUCACACUGGUUCCUCCAAACAAUUCUGUACAACUGGCAUUCUUAACCCCAUGCCCAUUUCACUGAAGAGGAAGCUGAGGCUCAGAGAGGGCCAGCAACUUUUCCAAGGUCACACAGCUCCUCCAUGCUAGGUCUGAGACACCAGCAAGGACUCUCAGUCUAACUCUAAAGCCUGGAGCCUUUGCCCAUCUCCCCUCACCAUGAGCAUCCACCUCAAGCACUUGCACUAUCCUGAUUUGGGACCAAGAAGCGUUUGAGACAACUUGGGCACCGUCCUGUCCUUGAGAAGCCUGGAAUCUGUGGAGGGAGAUAGAUGAAGAACUGAGUCUCAGAGAGGAGCUCGACCCAGAGGUUAGUGCCUCAGGCAGAGAGCCUCUUGCGGGGAGAGAAUCCUUCAGCCAUUGAAUCCCAAAUCAUCCCCAAGAAGCAACAGAGACACCAGAAUGUGAACGUGAUGUCCAGAGAUAGAGCAGCCAUUCUAUGACGGUGAAGACAAAAGCCAGACAACCAGACUGGCAGAGCAGGAAGCUAGAGGCACCUGGGUCCCAGGUAACUUCCUUGUGUGACUGCUAUGGUUUAAAACACCUCUAUCUCUCAACAUUAUACACGUAAGAAAAAGAAACUUAUUUAUGCUUAAACCACGCUUGGUGUUUUCUGUUUGCGGCCCAAAGUGGUCCUGACAGAUUCACCACCCUUGGGGUCUGAAACAGGAUCUUGGACUGUAUGGACAGGGGUUGGAACAUGGGUGAAAAUUCAUUGGUUUGUAUGAACUGUUUCCCAAGCAUUGCCUGGUACAGUGGCCCUGGGGCUGAUGUUCCCAAGUACCCAUUGUGGGCCAGGGCCUGGUGCCAGACUAUGCCAAACUCUUCCCAGGUCUACAGCAUAAGAGACAGUGUGAGGCACCAACAGGGCUUUUUGGGGAAGGACUUUCUUUUAUUCUAAGAUUAUGUCCUGCCUACUUCUUUGGUUCUAAAUGGUAAUUUAAUUCAUGAAAUGAAGCGAGAGUAGAUGUUGGGAUUUUUAAUGUUUUUGCUUUGUUUUCAUUAACAUCUGCCCUAGCAAAAGAAAAAAAUUGACAGUCCCACAUCAGUUUCCAAAUUUUCUUUAGGAAUAGUGCUGGUCUCUGAAACCCAAAAGUUAAGAAUCUCUCAGCUCACUCAUACACCCCCAGGGCCCAGCUGGGAGAAGAGAUGGCAGAGAGGGGAGGAGGCCCCUGCUAGGGGCAGGGAGCAGGGGGUGGAUGGCCCAGGGCAGGUGAGCGCAAGCACUGUUCCAGUCCCUGCACUUUGGACCCGCAGGACCUGGCACUAGGAAUUUGUUCCCAGCCUGCUCUGUGCCUCCCAAUGCCCCCACCCAGGUGUCCCCAGAGAAGUGGGAACAGCCUGUUACAGCUUCCAGAAAGGUGCAGCUCCUGAGCACACCAUGUUCUGGAGGCCAACAAGGGUGUGUUCCGGGCUCUGGCCAGUGGACCGUGUGUGGACACCUGCUUCAAAUCCCUGAAGCUUGGCAGGUCUCUGCCAGGACAGCCACACAGAGCAGCUGGAUGUUCAGCCCAGCGAACCCUGAGACAGCCAGGCAUAGUAGGAACCCAUGGGAAAGUUCAGCCUCCCCACCGUCCACCUGGGGUCCUGCAAAAGGCUCAGGAGACCCUGAUGGCCCACCGACCCACCAACAGGAAGAGAGAGGAGCCUGGAGAGAGCGACCAACGGCAGAAACAGCACGUUGGGAAACUGCUCAACCAGGGAGAUGAAAGGCCUACACUGUGCUACACUCACAGCAUUUUAAACCUUGCAGCUCCCAGCAACUCGGCCCUAAUGAGAAGCAGGAAGAGCUGCAGCAGGCAGAGAAGGUUGUUGCUGGGAGGCGGAGAGGUUGGAAAGGCAGGGAGCUUAGCCAGGGCUCCAUGCCCUGCCACCAUGCCCCGCCACCAUGCCCCAUACAGACCCCUGGGGUGGGGGGCUUUCCAAGCAGGGGAAGCAACCAGAAUUCUUGGUCUGCAUUUUGGGCAAACUCAAAAGGCACAUACUGGAAGACAUGUGAGGAUUAGACCCAGGCUCGGGAAAUAAAUGGGUAGGACUGUGGGUCGUACUCAUAGUACUAGGUAUCGUGCCAAAAAGGCCCUGUGGCUGUUAAGCAAGACCUGGCACACCCUGUCCCAAUCUCUACACAGUAAAAUCUUACAGCUGAGGAACAGCAGAGGGGCACCUUGGUCCUAUUCUUAGGGGCGAGGCCCCAGCUUCAUCGACUACAAAGACGUCCGCAGUUCGAUGUCGUAGCCACCUUGUUAAUGAACACCCAAUGCCAGAAGGAAAUCUGGCCUGCCAGUUAGAGAAAUAGCCUGACUCCUUCCAGAACUUCCCAACGUUAUUGUUCUGACCAGGCUCCUGGAAGACGCCUCCAGAUCCCUUAACAUUCAGGGAGGUAUGGGCUCCACUUGUAUUAGGGAGGAUUUAUUUUAUUUUUAAAGAAGUUGAGGCCACUUGGCAAUCAGAGCCCUCAUGGCUGGAGCAGGGAGACCCUCAUCAGAAGGGGGAUUAAUCAAGGCUUCUUAAGGACAUGCAAAUCAGGAGAAAACUCAAGUGAUUAGGGCUUGAUGGGGCCUGGAGUCCAGCCUCUAGACCCGGCCUGAGAAGAGAGACUCAGAAAGCUGGUCGAGGUUACUCAGGCCCAGCUGGCAACUGGGGAGAGUGGACCAGGGAUUGAGGGAGAUGAGGGGAAGGAGGCAGGAUGGGCCGCGGGAGAAACAUCCACACAAUCAUGGCAAACCCGCCCGUGUGGCGGCGCUGCAGACAUGGUACCCUGGCCAGCCUCCCUUCUUCCCCUGCAGCUGCAGAGCUUGGAGAGGCUGCUAUGGCAGGACCACCUGCCUGGCUGGUACUUGCCCUCUUCCUGACGACAGAAGAGCUCUGUAGGAGAGACGGUCCCCUGGGCACUGCUCAAAGGAAAUGUGGUGUCGGCAAUCUGGCAGUGUCUACAGGGAGAUAGAUGUGCCCACCCCACAUGGGGCCCAGCGAUGCCACAGCUACAGGGUGACCUAAGGAAAUAAGCUGGCAUGUGUGUAAGAAUGCCACCUUGGGGAUGUGCACAUGAGCGAAAAAGUGGAAUCCUGUUCAACAGCAGGGGUUGUGUGAGCUGCUUAUGGGACGGGUUUAUGAUGGGUGGUCUACCGUGCCCCCUGAAAAAUGAUGACUUAGGUGUACGAAGAUGGCCACACAUUGUUCAGGGAAGAGAAGAAACAAAAACAGAUUUCAAACAUUGUGGGUAGCCAUUUUUAGAAAAACAAAAAAAGGAUAUAACUAGAAAAUUCUGGAAGGGUAGUCACAGGAAUGUUAACUGUGAUUACUUCGGAGGGGGGCAGGUUUUAGAUUAUUGUUAACUUUCCUCUUUGGUAUUAAUUUUUUUUUUUUUUUUGUAGUGAGCAUAUGUUACAUUUAUAAUCAAUAAAGCUACUUUCUCUUCCCUUUUUAAGAAAACUGCUUUGUUGGUUGACCUCACACCUCCUCCCAGCCCCUUUACUAUGAAAUAAAAUAUCCUAGUGAACCAUGAGGGUGACACCCAUCCAGCCCCCUGUUUUCCAGGUUUGGGUCAGUGAGCACCAUUUCUAGCACAAAGCAGCCAUCUACCACCCAAGGAGCACUACCAGACCCUUGAACUGCCCCAGGUUUCUUUGAGUGAUACAGCAAAACACCAGGGAGGCUGGAAGGC